AGUGUACCAGGCAUUGCUCUAACCGUUUUACACAUUUACAUGCUAUAACUCCAAAAUUAUCGUUACCCCCUUUUACGAAUGAAGAGACUAAGACCUAGAAAUGUGAAGUACAUUUACCUGAACUCAUCACCUUCCCACCCCCAUCCCAUCGACUCUGUGCUGUAUCCUGAACCGGCUGACAGAACAAUGAUGUAGACUUGACUUGUUUUCGCCAACCUGGAAUGAAGCAAAGCUCUUGUGCACCCAAGAUCUGCUCUCUGUUGUAAAUCCUGUUCAGACCUGGUCUAAUUGGUUUGAAUAAAUAAAGAACCGGAAUCUUUCUCAUCC
ensembl:lncRNA STIM2-AS1 STIM2 antisense RNA 1